UGGGGAAUAUUGGACAAUGGGCGAAAGCCUGAUCCAGCCAUGCCGCGUGUGUGAAGAAGGUCUUCGGAUUGUAAAGCACUUUAAGUUGGGAGGAAGGGCAGUAAGCGAAUACCUUGCUGUUUUGACGUUACCGACAGAAUAAGCACCGGCUAACUCUGUGCCAGCAGCCGCGGUAAUACAGAGGGUGCAAGCGUUAAUCGGAAUUACUGGGCGUAAAGCGCGCGUAGGUGGUUCGUUAAGUUGAAUGUGAAAGCCCCGGGCUCAAACUGGGAACUGCAUCCAAAACUGGCGAGCUAGAGUAGGGCAGAGGGUGGUUGAAUUUCCUGUGUAGCGGUGAAAUGCGUAGAUAUAGGAAGGAACACCAGUGGCGAAGGCGACCACCUGGGCUCAUACUGACACUGAGGUGCGAAAGCGUGGGGAGCAAACAGG
rnacentral:rRNA from 1 species